CCGCCACAAGCUGUAGUGGGUCAUCGGGGCUGAGUUCCCACCCGUUGGUGGGCCAUUUGCCUCCUGUCCCACAUCACCGUCUGUCCUCUCCUCCUCAGCACGCCCCACAGCCUCACUCCUGGAGGAGUUUGCAGGAAACAAUUGCAUUAUGACAGGAAAGUGAUGCCACUAGUUAUUUCCCAGCAAGCUGAGAAAGGCAAAUUCUGCUCAUCCCAAUGGCUAUAAAAGAGGACUUGCUGGAUCAGUGUUUUGUAGUGACUGCAGUCGCAUCUGAAGGAAAAGGGUAUCUGCAAGCUAGUGCCGAAAUUCAUAUAUUCUGCUCAGAUGCUGAUCUUAUAACACCUGUUUAAGAAGCAUAUACUUUUCACUGCUGAGAUGCACAUGCAAGAAGUUCCUGGAACGCAGACAAGGAAGAGCAGCAGCACCAAAAACGACACACCUGUAUUCUUU